rnacentral:rRNA from 1 species
CCUACGGGGGGCAGCAGUGGGGAAUAUUGCGCAAUGGGCGAAAGCCUGACGCAGCGACGCCGCGUGAGGGAUGAAGGUCUUCAGAUCGUAAACCUCUGUCAGCAGGGAAGAACGGUCACUGUGCUAAUCAGCAGUGAAUUGACGGUACCUGCAAGGGAAGCACCGGCUAACUCCGUGCCAGCAGCCGCGGUAAUACGGAGGGUGCGUGCGUUCAUCGGAAUUAAUGGGCGUAAAGCGCUCGUAGGCGGUAUGUCAAGUCAAGGGUGAAAUCCCCGGGCUCAACGUGGGAACUGCCGUUGAAACUGGGAAACUGGAGUGUGGGAGAGGAUAGUGGAAUGCCAGGUGUAGGAGUGAAAUGCGUAGAUAUCGGGAGGAACACCAGUGGCGAAGGCGACUAUCUGGCACAUAACUGACGCUGAGGAGCGAAAGCGUGGGUAGCAAACAGGAUUAGAUACCCUAGUAGUC